GGCCGCCUGGCGUAAUGGCAACGCGUCUGACUACGAUGUUGUAAUCAGGAGAUUGCAGGUUCGACCCCUGCGGUGGUCA